AUUCCAGCUCCAAUAGUGUAUAUUAAAGUUGUUGCAGUUAAAAAGCUCGUAGUUGGAUUUCUGGUGGGGCUGUCGGCCUGGCUCCGAAAGGGGUCGUGGUUAGUACACGCCUGGCCAUCCUCGGGGGAAGCUUUGCUGGCAUUAAGUUGUCGGCGGAGUGACGCUCGUCGUUUACUGUGAACAAAUUAGAGUGUUCAAAGCAGGCUUAGGCCGUUGAAUACAUUAGCAUGGAAUAAUGAGAUAGGACUUUGGUGGUCUAUUUUGUUGGUUUGCACGCCGAAGUAAUGAUUAAUAGGGGCGGUUGGGGGUAUUCGUAUUCAAUUGUCAGAGGUGAAAUUCUUGGAUUUAUGGAAGACGAACUACUGCGAAAGCAUUUACCAAGGAUGUUUUCAUUA
rnacentral:rRNA from 1 species